CUGACCAAUCUGAAGCCUAAAUUCCUUUUUUACCAUCUAACAGGUAAAGCAUGAGCAGCAAGAUUCUUCACACUGCCCCAUCAAUGUGCUUCAUCCCUCACCUGGAGGGACCACUUCCAGGGGGGAGAGGAGAGGUCAGGCUUUGAGGUCCAUUUGGUCCUUGGCUUCU
rnacentral:sRNA from 1 species